rnacentral:rRNA from 1 species
UACGUAUGGGGCAAGCGUUAUCCGGAUUUACUGGGUGUAAAGGGAGCGUAGGCGGCGGGGCAAGCCUGAUGUGAAAGCCCGGGGCUCAACCCCGGGACUGCAUUGGGAACUGCCCUGCUGGAGUGCCGGAGGGGCAGGCGGAAUUCCUAGUGUAGCGGUGAAAUGCGUAGAUAUUAGGAAGAACACCAGUGGCGAAGGCGGCUUGCUGGACAGUAACUGACGUUGAGGCUCGAAAGCGUGGGGAGCAAACAGG